rnacentral:rRNA from 1 species
AGUUUGAUCCUGGCUCAGGACGAACGCUGGCGGCGUGCCUAAUACAUGCAGGUCGAGCGAUGAUUAGAGAUAGCUUGCUAUCUUUAUGAAGAGCGGCGAACGGGUGAGUAACGCAUGGGAAAUCUGCCGAGUAGCGGGGGACAACGUUUGGAAACGAACGCUAAUACCGCAUAACAAUGAGGAUCGCAUGAUUCUUAUUUAAAAGAAGCAAUUGCUUCACUACUUGAUGAUCCCGCGUUGUAUUAGCUAGUUGGUAGUGUAAAGGACUACCAAGGCGAUGAUACAUAGCCGACCUGAGAGGGUGAUCGGCCACACUGGGACUGAGACACGGCCCAGACUCCUACGGGAGGCAGCAGUAGGGAAUCUUCGGCAAUGGGGGCAACCCUGACCGAGCAACGCCGCGUGAGUGAAGAAGGUUUUCGGAUCGUAAAACUCUGUUGUUAGAGAAGAACGUUAAGUAGAGUGGAAAGUUACUUAAGUGACGGUAUCUAACCAGAAAGGGACGGCUAACUACGUGCCAGCAGCCGCGGUAAUACGUAGGUCCCAAGCGUUGUCCGGAUUUAUUGGGCGUAAAGCGAGCGCAGGUGGUUUCUUAAGUCUGAUGUAAAAGGCAGUGGCUCAACCAUUGUGUGCAUUGGAAACUGGGAGACUUGAGUGCAGGAGAGGAGAGUGGAAUUCCAUGUGUAGCGGUGAAAUGCGUAGAUAUAUGGAGGAACACCGGAGGCGAAAGCGGCUCUCUG